UAAAUUCCAUCUCUUUUGUCAGGACUGAAUUAUGCUUGUAGUAAAAAAAAAUCAGAGAAAAGGUUAUAUUUUUUUAUUGUGUAAUUUGUCUGAAAGUAAGUAAAAAUGUAACUUUUUGUUAACAACUUUGUAAAGAACUAUCUUUUUUACCUUAUAUUUACAUACAAUAAUAACUGGCUUACAUUUAUAUUACAUUUAAAAAUACCAUCGACAAUUUAUUAUCUGGUAAUAGAUCAACAUUGCUAUAGUACUCAUUACCUAUUUUUCUCACAGAAUUAAACAGAUAUUUAUUUAGUAACAUAUUAUCCUUCACAAAUGAACAUAUGUCAACAACUAUAAAUAUUUGUGAAAGAAAUUCAAAGUAAUAACUUUAGAAAAGAAAUUGUUAAGAGGGUGUCCAUGGAAAAACCAGGCAGUGGAUGGCACAUGACAUAUUUUGUUUUCAAAUUUUUUCAUCUAUUUCAUAUCACAAAUUCAUUCUUUCUCAAAGUUAAAUUGUGUUUUUUAUAUUAACUGCAACAAAUAAUGAGAACAAAAAUACAUAGAAAGCACUGAAAAUUCAUUAAAAAGGGGAGAUAACUCUUCAUUUUGUACAAAAUUUUGUUGCAUUGAUAGUGAACUUUAAAAUCAUUUUCUGAGCCAUUCACUGGGAUUCAAAAAUUUUGACAUAUAUAUCCUUUGUAUGAUAUAAACAUUGCAUUGGAACCAAAAAUUCAGUGGGAAAAAAAUUAUGUUGUGCCCCCAUAUCAUAGGAUUUGCCUGAUAUUUACUUGGACAUCCUCUUAAAUGUAUAAUGCAUAGUUAAUACAAAAGUUAUGGGAAAAGGUAAAUACCUUUACUUGCUUUUGUAAAGAUUGGAUAAUACAUAACAAUAUGCUAUGGAAAAUUAAAAAAUACAUGAGGAAAGACUAUUCUUACUCAUUCAAGCUUAUCCCUUGUAACAAAUUGCCACAAUCAUUCACAUGUUCUUAUCUAUAACUUUCAAUAGCAUUUUCAAAUAAUGCGCAAAUCAAAGUUAAAUUGAUUCUUUAUUCUUUUUUUUCCUAUACAUUCAAACUUAACGCUUGUUUUAAAAAAUUCAGGUCAGAAGAUUCCAAAUUACGCUUACAACAAAAAGUAUUUCAAAUUUAAGGAAUUUCCUAUUCAAUAAAUCUUCAAUGAACAAUUUAAAUAUAUGCAGCAUUGCUUUAAUUUUUCAGUCGAAAAAAACAUUAAUCUCCUUAUUUUCUUUGAAUUGUAAUAUGUAAAGAAAUGUAGGAAAAUUCUAGCAUUGAAAUCAGAAAAACACUUUAUAACACCAAACUUCUCAAGUACUCUAAAAGCAGUCACUAUGUAGGAAAAAAUAUUAACCAUAAAAAUAAUAAACAUUUAAAGGAGGUAAACAGAAUUUGACACAUGAAGGUAGUAGCCCUAAAAUACAUUGCACAAAAUAAUAUGUGUAUAUUGAUAACAACUUUAUGUACAAGAAUACUGAAUAUAUAAUCAACAAGCAUAGAAUAUAAUUUGACAGAGCCUUGUUUUAUAGAUUUUAAAUCCUAAAACAAAGAUCCCAAAUAAAAACUAAAAUUACAACAGAAGGAUCUUUUUCUUUCAUAAGCUCAUGAAAAUCAUCAUGAACAACUUUAUUUACAUGAAUACUGACUAUAUCAUCAACAAGCGUAGAAUAUAAUUUCGAAAGGGCCUUGCAUUAGAGGUUUUGGGCCCUAAAACAAGAACCUAGUAAACAAGGUCUAGUGAAACAGGACAAAAAUCACAAUUGGUUUGGUAAUUUCAUAGAAAAAUAUAAAUGUUAAGGAAGAAUUUGAAGAUGGGCCACAAAAAAAUCAUUAUUUACCAUUAAGAUGAGCUAGUUUUUAAUUCAUCAUAUUAAUCAUGAUAAAAACACCUGGAUAUAAUACUUGAGUUGUCUUUAGAAUUUAUUCUUUCAUUUUUAGAGAACCCCUUUUAUGCUUUGGCACUAUGUCCUGUUCCUAACCCUGUUAAAAACAUAUAUGUGUAUAAGUAAACAUCUAAUUAUAUAUAAAUAAGUUCAACAAUAACAACAGAACAGGGGAAAACAUGCUUUAGGCCACAACAAUUUCAUUUCUAGUUUUUAAGACUACUCAUAAAAAAGUAUCAAAGUUCUAACAAAGCAUGCACCAGAACGAUUGUUCACUUUCAUAAGUUCAAGCCGAUAAUUAAUUUUAAUUAACAAUAUCCAUAUUUCUUAUUGAACUUAAAAUUUCUCUUCUUGGUCUCUUUUUCGAACAUAUUGAUUAAUUGUCACAAUUUUUGUAUUAAUACAUUUCAAUUCUAUUUAUUAUUAUAUCUAUCAAAACUUUGAAUAUGUAUUUUUUUAACAUGCCUUUCACAGAAGAUGCU
rnacentral:lncRNA from 1 species